rnacentral:lncRNA from 1 species
UUCUCUCUUCUUUUUCCCAAACCCAAUCUAAAUAUCCAAUCUAAACACUUAAUUUCUUUCAUUCCCAACCUAGUAGCUAGUCUAAAAUAUGUUCCAAAAGCUAGCUAAAACAAGAGCUAAAACCUUGUCGUUCUCAAUACUCUCAAGAUUUCACAACCUAUAGCAUUUUCAAACAAAAGGCCUCACUCACAAAUCAAUCAUGGGUUUGAAAGAAAAGGUAAAGGUUUAGGGUAAGGGAACCAUUCUAGAGGUGAGAAUGGCCAUUCGAGUUUACAAAAGAUUGGCAAAGUGGAUAAGAAAACCCGAAUGAGUCUUUUAGACAACCAUGAGAAUGCAUUUAAG